rnacentral:rRNA from 1 species
CCUACGGGUGACAGCAGUGGGGAAUAUUGCACAAUGGGGGAAACCCUGAUGCAGCGACGCCGCGUGAGUGAAGAAGUAUUUCGGUAUGUAAAGCUCUAUCAGCAGGGAAGAUAAUGACGGUACCUGAGUAAGAAGCCCCGGCUAACUACGUGCCAGCAGCCGCGGUAAUACGUAGGGGGCAAGCGUUAUCCGGAUUUACUGGGUGUAAAGGGAGCGUAGACGGCAUGGCAAGUCUGAAGUGAAAACCCGGGGCCCAACCCCGGGAGUGCAUUUGAAACUGUCUGGCUAGAGUGCAGGAGAGGUAAGUGGAAUUCCUAGUGUAGCGGUGAAAUGCAUAGAUAUUAGGAGGAACAUCAGUGGCGAAGGCGACUUACUGGACUGUAACUGACACUGAGGCUCGAAAGCGUGGGGAGCAAACAGGAUUAGAUACCCUAGUAGUC